rnacentral:rRNA from 1 species
UUAAGUUAUUAAGGGCGCACGGUGGAUGCCUUGGCACUAGAAGCCGAUGAAGGACGUUACUAACGACGAUAUGCUUUGGGGAGCUGUAAGUAAGCUUUGAUCCAGAGAUUUCCGAAUGGGGAAACCCAGCAUGAGUUAUGUCAUGUUAUCGAUAUGUGAAUACAUAGCAUAUCAGAAGGCACACCCGGAGAACUGAAACAUCUUAGUACCCGGAGGAAGAGAAAGAAAAUUCGAUUCCCUUAGUAGCGGCGAGCGAAACGGGAAGAGCCCAAACCAACAAGCUUGCUUGUUGGGGUUGUAGGACACUCUAUACGGAGUUACAAAGGACGACAUUAGACGAAUCAUCUGGAAAGAUGAAUCAAAGAAGGUAAUAAUCCUGUAGUCGAAAAUGUUGUCUCUCUUGAGUGGAUCCUGAGUACGACGGAGCACGUGAAAUUCCGUCGGAAUCUGGGAGGACCAUCUCCUAAGGCUAAAUACUCUCUAGUGACCGAUAGUGAACCAGUACCGUGAGGGAAAGGUGAAAAGCACCCCGGAAGGGGAGUGAAAUAGAACCUGAAACCGUGUGCUUACAAGUAGUCAGAGCCCGUUAAUGGGUGAUGGCGUGCCUUUUGUAGAAUGAACCGGCGAGUUACGAUUUGAUGCAAGGUUAAGCAGUAAAUGUGGAGCCGUAGCGAAAGCGAGUCUGAAUAGGGCGUUUAGUAUUUGGUCGUAGACCCGAAACCAGGUGAUCUACCCUUGGUCAGGUUGAAGUUC